CCCAUAUCACGGUGGAACACUGAUUCCCACAUGAUGACCGAAGUUAAGCGAUGCUGAAUUUGGUCAGUAUCUAGAUGGGUGACCGCUUGGGAAUACCAAGUGCUGUAA
rnacentral:rRNA from 1 species